UCCUACGGGUGGCUGCAGUGGGGAAUAUUGCACAAUGGGCGCAAGCCUGAUGCAGCAACGCCGCGUGAGGGAUGACGGCCUUCGGGUUGUAAACCUCUUUUAGUAGGGAAGAAGCGAAAGUGACGGUACCUGCAGAAAAAGCACCGGCUAACUACGUGCCAGCAGCCGCGGUAAUACGUAGGGUGCAAGCGUUGUCCGGAAUUAUUGGGCGUAAAGAGCUCGUAGGCGGCUUGUCGCGUCUGCUGUGAAAUCCCGGAGCUCAACUCCGGGCCUGCAGUGGGUACGGGCAGGCUAGAGUGCGGUAGGGGAGAUUGGAAUUCCUGGUGUAGCGGUGGAAUGCGCAGAUAUCAGGAGGAACACCGAUGGCGAAGGCAGAUCUCUGGGCCGUAACUGACGCUGAGGAGCGAAAGCAUGGGGAGCGAACAGGAUUAGAUACCCUAGUAGUC
rnacentral:rRNA from 1 species